GCUGCCCCUUCUAUAGUGCCAGAAUCCAAGCUAAAAAGGCUGUCGCGACGCCCCUCUUACGAAUC
rnacentral:ribozyme from 1 species